GAAAACAAAAAAUGAAUAUUUAAAAAAUUGUUGGCGACGCGAAGAUCUCUUUAUGUUGCACUCGAUAUAAAUGUCACGCGCUGCCGUCUGGCCGUUUGGUUGGCUGGAUGUGACACAGCCGAAUUUCAAACAACAUCAGCUAUGCCGACAUCUUGCCUUCUAGACGUCCAGUCAAAAAAGAAGAGAAAAAUCGAAAAAAUAUAUUAAAUUACAAGCCUUGGGCGCAGCUCGAAUGUCCCGUGCCUCUGAAUUUAUAAAUCCGACUUCUCAAGAAACUUGACGAUGGAUGGAGAACACAGUCGUUAGUUUGAUUAAAAUCGAGAAAAAUAAUAAGUUUCUGGAAAGUCGGAGGUCGAAUUGUUUGCUCGUCGGCACAACCUUCGUCCUUUAAAGUUUUAUUGGCUGAUUUAUUGACGCCGUAUAACAGACCGUUUUAGACAGACCGUUUUAGGCAGACAUAGAUGUUUGCGCUGUUUCCUAAAAACACUUAUCAUUCUCUUAAAUUCUAAAAAGAUGAUAGAAAAGAGAAUUUCGAAGAUAAUCAGCGUGGCGUUUCCGAGAUUGUUCACGAUUCAAGAUACCACGGUGAAGAAUUCGAUAACGACGGGGGGCGAUUCUCAAAUCUCGAACGCACAAAUGCCGAAGGCGCCUCUGCACCUUGCACGAGAGGCCGGAGGUUCGCUGAAGAACUGGUGGUGUGGGCGUUCGGUACCUUCGAGACGUGGACGUAAGGACGUGGCGUGUACCUGUCUACACCAGGAGCGGCCUUUAGGGGCACAGGAGGGGGUUCGUAGUCUUCCGUCGUUCCAACUUCAUUGGCUGGUGCUGAGAUGUUUAUAGGGGCCGGGGCUUCUUUUCGCGCCGCUCUCCAUCGCGGAUCAUCGCUUUCCGUUGCCUCGUCGGGGGUCACAAGGCGCUAAUGAAGAGCCCGCUACAUUCUCGUGCACCUACACCCGCGACAUUCCUAGAAGUCCUCGCGAUUGACGCAGUUAUAAUUAUUAGUAACGUCGAUCUUGUUUUCCGAAGAAAUUGCGAAAGAUGGAGAAGCGUAAUAGACUACCCGCGAUUGAAAGUAUUUUAAAUUCAAUAAGCGUACUCGACGAAAGACUUGAAAUAAAUCUCAUAAAUUAUAUAGAUCUCAUUAAUUAUAUAAAUCUCAUAAAUUAUAAGAUAAUCUCUUUAUUUUAAUUAUUCAUUCGUUGAACUCGAGUGAUCUGCCUUUUGUUAAGAGAAAGGAAAAGACUUACAACGAUAUAAAGAAUUGAUUAACUGUAAUUUCUGAGAAAUUUUACUUGUAUUAAAACCGUUGGAAGAGAUGGUCUCGUGA